GUGAAUCAUCGAAUUUUUGAACGCAUAUUGCACUCUCUGGUAUUCCGGAGAGCAUGCCUGUUUGAGGGUCAUUAGAAAUCAUAUAACUUCUAAGAUUUCUCGGAAUUUAAAAUGGGUUGUCAAUUUUUUCUGGUCGCCUAAAAUCCAAGACAAGCUCAUUUUCUUGGGUUGCGUGAUACUUUUUGUUAUCUUGCGACUUAACCAGGAAUUAUAGGGAGUGCUAUGAAUUGGACAA
rnacentral:misc_RNA from 1 species